rnacentral:misc_RNA from 1 species
AAACAAACAGAAGGCUUGGGACUUCACCGUUGUAUAGCAAGUGCAACUGAAUGAUACAAGAAAUUAAGCCACAGCAAAUGAUCAAAACCUGUCAGUCUGUCACUUUACAAAUUCUAGGAAACAGCUGUUUCAUAUUACAUAAAAGAAAAAAAAAUUUUAAAAAAAAUAAAGAAAGAAAAAAUACACAUUAAAGAAUGACUGCAUAUGGACUUGUAAUUUACAUACAGGUUGAGAGCAUGAUUUAGUUACGCUGUGUUUAAAAAGAAUCAGAUUGACUUGACAUGAACAACCACCUUUAAGUAUACAGUUGUGAAUGCCCCAACUUGAAUUGAGGAGCUUCUAUAAGGUCAAACCACAGAUAGCUGAUGCCGCAGAACUUCCAGCAAAUCAGAGAAAGCUUUCAACAGCAAAAUUUUCAAAACUCUAGAUUUCUAGACAAAAUAUAUAAUCACAAUCAAAUGAUUGAAAUCCAUCUUGAUGAUAAAAGCAUCCUUGUCAACUUUGCCUUGGGUGCAAUGAUUGUUUUUGCUCAAGAAGGUGUUGGAGAUGAUAACUGAUUUCCGGGAGAGGUCCUAAGGUCCAGCCCAGAUUUUCCAGUAAGACUUUUCGGAAUUUGACCAGUCAGAUUAUUGUUCUGUAAAAAUAGUUCACGCAGAUUCUUAAUACUUCCAAUUGAUAAGGGGAUCUCUCCAGUGAAUUGAUUGUUUUCCAAAUGCAAUGUUUGCAGCAUCUUUAAUGAACCGAGAUCAGGUAUUGAACCUGACAAACUGUUAUUUCCAAGCCAGAUGUCCGUCAAUGCAGUCAAUCUCGCAAUACUUGGUGACACUGAUCCUGAAAGGCCCAUGCUUGUCAGAUUCAAUGAAAUCACACGAAUCCGGGGGCCCUCAGAGCAUGUAAUUCCAGACCAUGAAUACUGACGAGGCAUACAGGGAUCACCGCUCCAGUCAAAUGGAGGGUUCUGGAGACUGCUUUUAAGUUUUUCCAAAGCGAUUACUGGAACAAGAAAUUAGAAAUAUGAAACCCAUUUAACCAGUACAAUCCUUGAGAAUGACAAAAAAGAAACACGGGAGAAACUUGAAAGAAUGUUCCACAACAAUUUAUUACAGGAGACAUAAUGAAAUCCAACUCCCACUCCACCAAUCUUAAAAUAUUAAAUUGAACCAUACCAUCUCUUGUAAGAGUUCUUCCUCCAAGCACCAUCACCUGAAAAACCUCUCCAGCAUUGAUCAAUGGAGGAAAGCUAGAACCAGCAGAAGGAGUCAAAUUUAUAUUUGUAAGGCCGCCAAGGGGCCACUGCGUUGCAAAGAUAGCAGCGCCUGUUUGUGUCACGCUAAAAUUUUUGUAAUAUGUUAUCCCAUUUAUGCUGACAUUGAACCCUCUUGAAGGUCCGGCUGAUGAAUUACGAUCAUCUGCGAAGUAUACAGCAAUGUAGUACUUUGAUUGUCGAAGAGAAGCCAGAGGCCACCUCAACUCCAGGGGACCAGAUUGACUUCUUGUCAACUCUGUUUCAAAUACCUUCAAAGGAGGAAGAUUCCAUAUACCGGAAAUGGAUGGAUUUUUGUUUUUCGAUAUAGUGGUAUCUUUUUUCCCAAACGGCUCCCAAAACCGAUCAAAUGGAUCAUCAGGAUAUCGAAUUAUGGAUCCAUUGUAUCCAAAGCUGUGCCUGGCAACCAAGCUGAGGCCAUACCGGUUAAAAUCCGUGGAAUUAUACAACGAACCCCCCAAAAUCACAAACUCCAAGCCAGAAAUAAACGGGUCCGAAUCCGUAUACGAAUUUGCCCCGAUACACAAACUCAUAGUCUUCCCUUGAGCCAGAAAAACCCCUUCAUAAUACGACGCCAUGCCGUUGGCAUAAUCUUCCGUCGUAUUCACCACGCUCCAGAAAGUUCCGUCCACAAUCUGAUCGAACACUGGCGGCGCAGCGUUGCCGUUGAUCCCUCCAUAGAAGUACGUGGUCCUGAUCAUGUACUUGGCACCGCGGAAAACCGGAACCACGUAGCAGGACUUGCGGUGAAGAUUGUUCUUCAGAGGGAAUGAUCGGACGGUUGAGAGGAUUGGAGCGAGUACUGGAAUUGUAAGGUUCUUGGAAGUCCCUCUGGAGAUGAAACCAGCGUCCGGAAGCCAUUGACGGCCGCCGACUAUGGAAGGGGCGGUGGAGCCGCAAUUAAUUAAAGUACCUCUAGGAGGAGGGGAUUGAGAAACAGAAAGGGAGAGAAGAGAAAGGACUAUAGCAAAGAAGAAAGAAAGAAAUGGCAUGAUGGAAAAAUUGGCAUGAAAUGGAAACAGGGCAGAAAACUGGAGAGUAUUAAGACAGGGAAGGAAAAGGAAGGAGCUUGUGGGUUUGUUUUGUUUAGAGGGUUGAGAGAAGGCGGUGGUGGUGAGUAGGAAGGGGCUUGAAUGGUUCUUUUGGAGAGUGUCGCAAGAAAGGAAUAGGAAGUGAGGAGUUGAAGAAGAGGGAAAGAAUUUUGAUGACGCGGGAAAGGAGAUGGAGAGUGCCAGGUCAAGAAGAGAGGCGGCAGUUAGUGUUUGUUU